AGUGAACGCUGGCGGUAGGCCUAACACAUGCAAGUCGAACGGCAGCACAGUAAGAGCUUGCUCUUACGGGUGGCGAGUGGCGGACGGGUGAGGAAUACAUCGGAAUCUACUUUUUCGUGGGGGAUAACGUAGGGAAACUUACGCUAAUACCGCAUACGACCUACGGGUGAAAGCAGGGGAUCUUCGGACCUUGCGCGAUUGAAUGAGCCGAUGUCGGAUUAGCUAGUUGGCGGGGUAAAGGCCCACCAAGGCGACGAUCCGUAGCUGGUCUGAGAGGAUGGGCAGCCACACGGGAAAUAGAACCAGGCCCAAGCCCCCAGGGGGGGAGGACAGGGGGAAAUAGGGGAAAGGGGGGGAAGCUCUACCCCACCAAACCGGGGGGGGGAAAAAGGCCUUUGGGUUUGAAAGCCCUUUUUGUGGAAAAAAAAAAGAAGCAGUUUAACCCCCGGUGUUUCGGAGGGACCCAAAAAAAAAAGCCCCGGCAAACUUCGUG
rnacentral:rRNA from 1 species